CCCUCCUCCCCAUGCCUCCCUCCUAGAGCAGGCCUGCUCCUCCCAGCUACUCUCCUCCACCUUCUGCACCACCCCUCACUGAGUUAGCUAGGGACACAGUGGUGAACGAGGCUGGCAGGAAGGGCUGCCUGCAAGGAAGUGAGGUUUCCAUGGAGCAGACAGGCAAUGAGAUGAAGAAGAGAACCUCCAUGGCACUAAACAGCAGGAGGGAGGCUUAAAGACAAUGAAAAUAAACUCCAUGGGCUGGGCGUAGUGGCACACAGUGGAUGCUGAAGUCCUAGCAUCUAGGAGGCUGAGCAGGAGGAUUGCCACAAGUUCAAGGCCAGCCUGGGAUACAUAGCGAGAUUCUGUCUCAAAAAAGAAAAGACACUCCACGGAGGCAGAGACUUUCAUCUGUUUUGUUCAUUGCCGGUUCUCCAGUGGCACUGCUGCCCUGUGCUGGUCAUGGAACCCAAGACUUUGCACAUGGGACUCAUCCAGCCCUACUCUCCACCAAAGCCAAAGUCAGCAUCAUGCAGCAGAGACUGAACUAUUGUACUGCUGCUGUCAGUGUAUUUAGAGAGAACUGAUGACCUUCUGACACUGAGUUUUCCUAUCUGUUUUCAUAGCAUGUCUAUUAACUUAGAACUUUCUUAGUUUUUUUAAAUAAAGUUGAAA